rnacentral:rRNA from 1 species
AAAGCUCAAAUUUGAAAUCUGGCUCUUUUAGGGUCCGAGUUGUAAUUUGUAGAAGAUGCUUUGGGUGUGGCUCCGGUCUAAGUUCCUUGGAACAGGACGUCAUAGAGGGUGAGAAUCCCGUAUGUGAUCGGUGGCCUUCGCCCGUGUAAAGCUCUUUCGACGAGUCGAGUUGUUUGGGAAUGCAGCUCAAAAUGGGUGGUAUAUUUCAUCUAAAGCUAAAUAUUGGCCAGAGACCGAUA